CUGCUACCCCUUGCAGAUUUGGCACACUUUGAUAACUUACCAGCACCAGAAACACUGAUUCAUGAAACUGAUGUCAGAAGAGGUUGUUUUUGCCAAAAGUGAAUCCCAUGUUGUUCUGUGUCGUGGAAGAGAUGAUGCCAAAAUUUGAGAUGGUCAUGAUGCUCAAGGACCUAUAAUGUCACAUGAAGAUAACAGGAAUAUUUAUGUUCGAUACCUGAUGUAGGACAAAUUUCUCUAAACUGGACACUCAAAAAUUACUCAACCCUUACAAAAUUUUCAUUAUUAAUGUGUGUCAGGGGUCUUAAUAAGUCAAACUAAUUGGAGCUGGAAAUGCAUCCAUGCCCCUACUGUUGCAAUGCACAGUACAACAGGUCCCCAAAUCCUGACAGAGGAUUUUGAACUCUAAUAAAAUGUAAAUACUAUAUUCGGAUAUAUAAUGUCUGUAUCCUCUGACCCAUGAUGAAUAACAAAUUAUUCCUAGUUUAACAGUUUCAGUACCUAACAGCCAAGCCUCUAGUUUGUAACUGAAAAUGGGAGGGGUGGGGGGAAUCUGAUCACAAGCAAAUAUAAUGGCAGCAGUAA